UGUCGCCUGGCCCCACCCCAGCAGGGCCCCGAGGGCGAGGACGGCUGGAACCAGAGGACCCUGAUGUGACUGGAUCUCGAAGCUGGUGGGAGGCUUCGGUUCUCCCUGAAGGUCUGACGCUGCCCUCCCCACCCCUUUCCUUGAGGCAUUUUUUUCCGUUUGCAAAACGAACCAAACCAAGUCUCGGUGCUAACCGAAGCUGGAACAUUUGAAUUAUUAGGAAUCUGUUACAGGACUCUGCAUUGGGAAUUGUUUUUAUUUCGUUUAGGGUUUCGUUGUGUUUUUAGUUGGAAGCGCGUAGUGUCAGGUCUAGCUUGCGGAGUGAAAACACGGAGAGGAGGGGAGAAAUGUUCAAAGCAGCUCUGUGUCCUCAGUGUCCUCAGGCCGUUCUCCUCCGCAGGCUUUCCGGGGUCUGAACUGCAAACAUAAAGAACUAAUUUGCUCCAGGUCUCGGUGUUGUUACUGUUCCUGCCCUGUUUACAUCACAUCGGGUCUUUAUCUAGGGCACCUCUUCCUGCACUUGUGGUAUUUGUUGGUGCGCUAGGUUACGGUGUCCCUCACAUGUUGUCAUCAGAAACUGAACACUUCCUCUCAGCAUCCUCACAAGGUCCGCCUUCCCCCCCCCCCCCCACAACUGGUUUCCUUGAUGCACGCGUAGUUUAGGAUUCUUUUUAUCACAUCAGCACUGGCGAGGCUCCGAGUUUUGUAACAUGGCUUUAACCGGCAUUUAUUUUACUAGCCUGGAAAGCCUGUGGUGUGGUCGGGGUUUGACCUGCCUACAGCAGAUAUUUAUUGAGCCCACUCGAUGUGUCUGACGCUGUGCCCUGAAUACAAAAAUGUCUGGGUAGUCCCCGCCCUUCUUUUCUGAAGACACAAAACUUAGAACGCUACUGAAUUUCUAUGGGAGUUUGGGAACUGAACUUGAGUAACCACACAAGUUCUUAGAGCACGUCAUAAAUGUCCCCAUGGAAGAAAAGACUGAAGACACAAAGAAAUGGAAUGUAGGAACAGAGCGAGGCGGGCAAGUGAGACCAAGCGCUGGGGGACACGGGGACGCCUCUGGGGCCAGCCUGUCAUGCACCUGUGCUCCCUUUAUUCCUUCAACCUUUACAAGGCGUUUCUUAGACGUCAACAACAGCCUUUGGUAUAUUUAUAAGAUUAAAACGGGUCCCACUUAAUUUAGCGUAUCUUGGGUAAACUUGAUCUGACUCUAAUCUCGGAUUUUAAUCAGAUACUAUUUUGUAAGGUUCUUAGAACCCAGAAUAAAAUGUGGGACAUAAAACAACUGGAUGACAGAAGAUACAUGAGCAAACUAAGCUAAGUAAAAAAAUUUUUUUUAAUUCAGACACAGGAAAAAAAUCAACUGCUUCUAGGAUUUUUAAGAAACAUCCCCAAAAUAUCAAGAUUGUUCAUUCCUCUGAGCUGGAAAGACAAGAUGGGCCAAGGACAGAGGUCAAGGUGCAUCCAGCUUUUCCAGAGGGCAACCUUCAGAUCGCAUUUCCGCCUCCAUGGGACCCGAUGCCCUUCCUUCCCCAGAAGGAAGAUGGGGUAGAGAUGUCCCGCCUGAGGCGAUGAAGGGGUCGGAGGGAGUCGUGGGGGACUUGGAAGCCAUGUGGUGGGGAGUGAGGACUUUGUUGGGCCGCACUGGUGGAAGAAGUUUGUGUUUCUAAUGCCUUUUGAUGGUCAGGUUUACUGGGUCUUAAACCAUUUCUAGAACAAUUUAUUAGAGGGUACAAAUCAAGAAAGACAUUCUGUUUCUUAGAAACCUAUUAAUAGCUAAGGUUAACGGGAGGGCAACAUUUAAUGAAUAAUGUGUCUUCCCUCUGAUGGGCAAAUACACAUGCACAUGUGUAUCAUGUAGUGAUUUCUAUCAUGUAGUGAAUUUCCAUAUAAUUGAGGAUCUCGUUCUGAACUACAUUCUAAUCCAUUGAUCUUCCAAUAGCAUUUCGUGCUGUUUUUCAUUUUUUCAUACUGUGUUAAUAUAAUUUCACAAUACAUUUUAAUACCUGUUAUAGCUACUAGACUCGGUGCCCCCUGCGCUCAUUACGGUCUUCGAACUAUUUGUUAGUUUCAAAUUGGCAGAAAUUGGUUUUUGCAAAAAAAAGGAGUGCAAGGAAUACUUCUGUUCCCUUUGCCGAGACCUACAGGAAGUGGUGUUUGUAAGCCACGCGCAUCAUGGUCUUUUUCUGAGUUCCUGGCGUGUGCAGAACCCAGCUCUGAACGCAGGGCCGUGCCUGCAGCUUUCAGAGAACGAAGAGCUCUGAAAACAGCUCAGGGGUCAGGUGCUCUUACCAUCACCGCACUUAGUACAAUUUACAAAUACAAGGGCAGAACAAAUAAAAGGAGACACAGACUAAGCCUCCUGAGGAUGGAGCUUUCUCACUGCGUUUCAAUAGUUCAAGGCAUGAACAUGGCAGAAAGGCAGACCUAACACGGCAGGAGAAAAUUCUCAGCCAGCCAGCUCUCCAUCCAACUCGUUUUCUUAUGAAGAAGUUAGACAAGAGCACCUGGCUGGCCCAGUCGGUGCAGCAUGUGACUCUUGAUCCCGGGGUCGUGAGCUCAAGCCCCACGUUGGGUGUAGAGUUUACUGGGGAAAAAAAAAAAAUGCAUAAAAAGACAAAACGAUUUGGGUCCUGAGUACAUAGGGGCUUAUGUACCACAGGCAAAUUCGGUAUUUUCUUUUUUAAGAGAAUUCCAGUUGAUCUUUGUGGUGUGGGGUGUUUUGGCAGCGUUGUCAACUUGGCGAAGCUGAACUGUUUUCCAGAAUUCCCUUCCCUAUUCAUUUCUGGUUAGGUAGGGGGUGGCCACAAGAGAAAUUUGCACGAAUUUGGAAGCGGACGGAAAGCCGUAGCCGUGCUUACUUGCUGAAGGUCGCUGGACGCCGUGCCCUGUUGCACCUCGUGCACGUUUUCGCAGACCCCGCUGCACCUUCGGUGGGCGCAGCGGCCGGGCUCUCGGCUCCUCCGGCCCCCACAGAACUCUGCCUCCGGUUCUUCCAGAUCAGGGGUCAGGUAUGAAUCUAGCUUCUCCUUCAGGUCACCUGCAGCAGGAGGACAAAGGCUUAGAGGAGAGGCCAGCGCGGGUCCGGCCAGCAAGAGGCAGAUGCGGGUUCCCGCUAGUGGCUUGCAGGCUCCAGCUGUCCCAGCGCUCCCAGACCGCACUGCCGCCUUCUUUCCGGACCACCCGCCCAGGGACUUCAGGUGAACAAGCAGCAGCUGAACUGGGGCUCUCUUACCAGCAUCUGUAAUUCAGUGCUGCAGAUGCGGAAGAGUAAUAUUCAGAGAAAAGCACCUCGACAAAUUUUACUAGACCUAAAACAUUUCUGCCUUGCGUCCGAGGACAAAACCAGACGGGAUUUAAAAGAAAACGGCAGUGAAGGCUUUGAGGGUAAAGAGUUGCUGUCGUCUGGCCCCAUAAGGUCCAGUGAAAACCCAAUCCACAAGGCAUAUCCCUGUCCUCACCUGUAAGCUUCGUCUAAGGACAUGUUCAUCCUCUUCAUGAUGUAGGCGAUGGCGAUGGUGGCUGAGCGAGAGACGCCAGCUAAGCAGUGUACCAGGACACAUCCGUUGCAGGCUUUUGCUUUCUCUGCAGGAGUCAAAUUCGAGAAGGGUCACCGUGAACAACUUUGUUCAACAGUGAGAUCUUGUUGCCAUUUGCUUACUUGCAUCUGAUAACUCAAAGUAAAUCUCCUGUAUUCAUAAUA